AGAAUGAGGAGCGACUGCGUCUUGAAAGGCCGCACAGAGGCGGCGGCGCUGCUGCUUUUGACUUCUGAACAGGGCUUAGAAAGCCUGCCCGGGUUAAGCAGAACUGCCUGUGCCCCUGGGCCCUGAGCGCCAACUCCGCGGGCUCACAGUCCCGGGUCUCGGUGCUGGGAAGGCGCGGGAUGAGCGGGACACUGGGUUGGCCAGGAACCUGACAAAGUUGCUUUUGGCUCUGCAGCCGCCUGACCCUAGCGCAGAGCUGCGAGCUUGACCGGCCACGCCGGGCAAGGCCAGAGAAAGAAUUUCCCUUUUCCAACUUCGUCUUUUUUUGGUUUUGUGUGCCCACUUCGCACAGCUCUGGAGCCUACCGAUCCCAAAUGGAGUCUCAACAGGUGCCCGUAAGAGUCCAUCUGCUGACACACCUGGGGGAGAGACUGCAACAGAAAGAGAGAAACGAGUAAGGAGACCCGACUCCUAAACCCAAAGUGCACCUUCCGUUCUCGGAGCUCAGGCUCAGGGCGCACACAGGAGUCGCCGCGAUGCUGGUCGCCCAUGUCCGUCCACUUGGGAGCCCGCCCCGCCCCUCCUGGGCUGCUGGUAGAGCUGAGGCUCCAGCACGCCCCAGAGCCACCCGGUUUCCUGACGGAGGACACCUGCGUGGAGUCGCCCCUCAGUCACGAUCUUUUGGUUUAGGGGGCAGCGCGAGGCUUCGCGCCUUCGGGGCGCGCCGGGGAGCCGGCCUGCGAGGCCCAAGGAGAGCCGGAACCCGGAGCCCUGGCGCGCGCCCACGGAGCGGUGCGGCCUGCUCCGAAGAGAAGGCCUGGGGCUCUGCGACUCAGCGGGGUGGGCCUGGGGUCACCGCGGGGUGAUCGGGCUCCCGAGCCGGCUUUGUCCGCCGCUCUGGCCGCCCUGGCGCACUUCCUUCCAGCCCCCAGCCGGCCCCCACGCCAGGCCUUCGUGCGGGCCUUGUUUGUUUUUCCACCCCUGCGCCCUCCGCCCAGACACGCAAGCAGCCCUCGGGGCGACGUCAGCGGCUCCAGGCCUCCGGCCCAGGCUGGUACAGGAGCGCUGGCCCCGCAGGAAGCGGAGUGAGCGGGGAAGGAGCUCUGGGGCCCCUUCUGGGAUUUGGGAGCAGGGGCCAGCUGGCCGGGGAGGUGGCCUAAUCGGGCGCAGGGCCUCGGUGGGCGGUGAAGGCCCAAGUGCUGGCCUUCGAAGGGGACGGGCGGCCUUCGAGGGGCGCCGGCCCCUGCCCCGCAGGAGAGUGGUGGCGCUGUGCAGCUAGAGGAGACACGGUGAGGGGCCCCAUCAGGUCUCAGCGUUGUCAGCAGCCUCCGGUCGAUCCGGUGACAGGCGUGUGGGCGUGCUGGUCCCUUCACUGCAUACCCAGCGCUUCGCAUGGCAGUAGAACCGUGUCCUGCAGCUGGACCAUGGGCCUCCCCGCGCCCUCCGCCCCUGCGGCCUCCUGGUCCCUCGCCUUCCCGGCGCCUGGAACUCUCCGUCCCGCAGCCUCCGUCCGCGCUGACCCUGUAGGCGCCGCCGCUCCCCACCGCUCCUGGGCCAGCUGCGGAGGAGCUCGGCCAGCGUGGCGCUCGGGCACCGAGCGACUGCACGGCCCCUGCCGGCUGACUCGAAGUCGAGAUGUGCUCGGGCGUUAUUUCUGGAGCGUUCCCCCUUUUACCUAAUCCCUUAUGCUUUUAUUCUAAUCCUACACAUUACAGUUAAUCUGUAAUGAUACCGCUUCGGAGGAACCUGUUGCAUACGAGGCACGGUAAUUUGUAACCU